rnacentral:rRNA from 1 species
UACGGAGGGUGCAAGCGUUGUCCGGAUUCAUUGGGUUAAAAGGGUGCGCAGGCGGGACAUUAAGUCAGGGGUGAAAGACGGUUGCUCAACAAUCGCAGUGCCUUUGAUACUGGUGUUCUUGGGUGACCUUGAGGUAGGCGGAAUGGGUGGUGUAGCGGUGAAAUGCAUAGAUACCACCCAGAACUCCGAUUGCGAAGGCAGCCUACUGGAGGUUUACCGACGCUCAGGCACGAAAGCGUGGGGAUCAAACAGG